CCUACGGGCGGCUGCAGUGAGGAAUAUUGGUCAAUGGACGAGAGUCUGAACCAGCCACGUAGCGUGAAGAAUGAAUGCCCUCUGGGUUGUAAACUUCUUUUAUAUGGGAAUAAAAUGUUCCACGUGUGGGAUAUUGUAUGUACCAUAUGAAUAAGGCUCGGCUAACUCCGUGCCAGCAGCCGCGGUAAUACGGAGGAUCCGAGCGUUAUCCGGAUUUCUUGGGUUUAAAGGGUGCGUAGGUGGAUUGUUAAGUCAGUUGUGAAAGUUUACGGCUUAACCGUAAAAUUGCAGUUGAAACUGGCAGUCUUGAGUACAGGAGAGGUGGGUGGAAUUCUUGGUGUAGCGGUAAAAUUCUUAGAGAUCAAGAAGAAUACCGAUUGCGAAGGC
rnacentral:rRNA from 1 species